GAGGGUAUAGCUCAGUCGUAAAGUGCACGCCUAGCAUACCUGAGGUCCUGGGUUCAAUCCCCAGUGCCUCCA
rnacentral:tRNA from 1 species